rnacentral:rRNA from 1 species
CCUACGGGAGGCAGCAGUAAGGAAUAUUGGUCAAUGGAGGAAACUCUGAACCAGCCAUGCCGCGUGCAGGAUGACUGCCCUAUGGGUUGUAAACUGCUUUUAUACGGGAAGAAACCCCGCUACGUGUAGCGGGUUGACGGUACUGUAAGAAUAAGGACCGGCUAACUUCGUGCCAGCAGCCGCGGUAAUACGAAGGGUCCAAGCGUUAUCCGGAUUUAUUGGGUUUAAAGGGUGCGUAGGCGGCUUUUUAAGUCAGUGGUGAAAGCCUGAUGCUCAACAUCAGAACUGCCAUUGAUACUGAAGAGCUUGAGUACAGUUGAGGUUGGCGGAAUGUGUCAUGUAGCGGUGAAAUGCUUAGAUAUGACACAGAACACCGAUUGCGAAGGCAGCUAGCUAAGCUGUAACUGACGCUGAUGCACGAAAGCGUGGGGAGCAAACAGGAUUAGAUACCCUGGUAGUCCACGCCCUAAACGUUGAUAACUCGCUGUUGGCGAUAUACUGCCACGCGCCGACGACGAAGACAUUAAGUUAUACCACCUACGGAAGGUACGGUCGCGAGAGUUAGUAAACGUUAAAGUUAGUAAGUUAGUACGGCGUAGAGACGUUACGGCCGACGGACGACGACGAGGGGAGGUAGGGAG